rnacentral:rRNA from 1 species
CAGAUGUGGAAGCACGGUAACGUGUGCAGCUGACUGGUACUAAUAAGCCGAUGACUUGAUAAC